rnacentral:rRNA from 1 species
AUGAACGCUGGCGGCGUGCCUAACACAUGCAAGUCGAACGGACUUAAGACGCUGAUGAGGCUUCGGCGGAUUCUUGUUUAAGUUAGUGGCGGACGGGUGAGUAACGCGUGGGCAACCUGCCUCAUACUGGGGGGAUAGCAGUUGGAAACGACUGAUAAUACCGCAUAAGCGCACAGCAUCGCAUGAUGCAGUGUGAAAAACUCCGGUGGUAUGAGAUGGGCCCGCGUCAGAUUAGCUAGUUGGUAAGGUAACGGCUUACCAAGGCGACGAUCUGUAGCCGGACUGAGAGGUCGGACGGCCACAUUGGGACUGAGACACGGCCCAAACUCCUACGGGAGGCAGCAGUGGGGGAUAUUGCACAAUGGAGGAAACUCUGAUGCAGCGACGCCGCCGUGAGUGAAGAAGUAUUUCGGUAUGUAAAGCUCUAUCAGCAGGGAAGAAAGACUCGCAAGAGAGAUGACGGUACCUGACUAAGAAGCCCCGGCUAACUACGUGCCAGCCGCCGC